rnacentral:lncRNA from 1 species
AGUGGGGGGGGUCGUAAUUAAUUGACGGGGGUCCCCCCAUAAUUAAUGGGUGGGGGUUUACUCGUUAAGUUAAUGAAUGGGGGGGGGUUAAUUAAUUAAUGAGGGUCCCAUUAAUUAAUGGGGGGGGUCCCAACUCACGUCUUAUCGACUGCCUUAAAGGUCCCUCGUCCUCAUCGGGUUCCCCAGUCCUGGAUGGGGGGAGGACACCAGUAAAUCCCAUUAAAUCCCAUUAAAUCCCAUUAAAUCCCAGUAAAUCCCAGUUACACCCCAGUCCAUCCCAGUCCCUCCCAGUCCAUCCCAGUGCCCCCCAGUUCCAUCCCAGUUGCUCUCAUUCCCUCCCAUUCCCUCCCAGUUUAUCCCAGUUUAUCCCAGUUUAUCCCAGUUUAUCCCAGUUUAUCCCAGUCCCAUCCCAGUUUAUCCCAGUUUAUCCCAGUUUAUCCCAGUCCCAUCCCAGUUUAUCCCAGUCCCAUCCCAGUUUAUCCCAGUCCCAUCCCAGUUUAUCCCAGUUUAUCCCAGUUUAUCCCAGUUCCAUCCCAGU